GCCGGGUGCGGUGGCGCGCGCCUGUAAUCCAAGUUACCGGGAGGCUGAGGCUGGAGGAUCGUUUGAGCUCAGGAGCUCUGAGCUGCAGCGGACUAUGCCGAUCAGGUGUCCGCGCUAAGUUCGGUAUCGAUAUGGUGCUCCUGAGGGAGCCCGGGACCACCAGGUCGUCUAAGGAGGGGUGCACCGGCCCAGGUCGGAGACGGAGCAGGUCAAAGCCCCCGUGCCGCUCAGUAGUGGGAUCGCGCCUGUGAAUAGACGCUGUAGUGCAGCCUGAGUAAUACAGCGGGACCCAGUCUUUU
ensembl:misc_RNA Metazoa_SRP Metazoan signal recognition particle RNA